rnacentral:rRNA from 1 species
AUUGAACGCUAGCGGGAUGCCUUACACAUGCAAGUCGAACGGCAGCACGGACUUCGGUCUGGUGGCGAGUGGCGAACGGGUGAGUAAUGUAUCGGAACGUGCCUAGUAGCGGGGGAUAACUACGCGAAAGCGUAGCUAAUACCGCAUACGCCCUACGGGGGAAAGCAGGGGAUCGCAAGACCUUGCACUAUUAGAGCGGC